rnacentral:rRNA from 1 species
CCUACGGGCGGCAGCAGUGGGGAAUAUUGGGCAAUGGGCGCAAGCCUGACCCAGCAACGCCGCGUGAAGGAAGAAGGCUUUCGGGUUGUAAACUUCUUUUAUCAGGGACGAAGCAAGUGACGGUACCUGAUGAAUAAGCCACGGCUAACUACGUGCCAGCAGCCGCGGUAAUACGUAGGUGGCAAGCGUUAUCCGGAUUUACUGGGUGUAAAGGGCGUGUAGGCGGGAAAACAAGUCAGAUGUGAAAACCAUGGGCUCAACCUGUGGCCUGCAUUUGAAACUGUUUUUCUUGAGUACUGGAGAGGCAGGCGGAAUUCCUAGUGUAGCGGUGAAAUGCGUAGAUAUUAGGAGGAACACCAGUGGCGAAGGCGGUCUGCUGGACAGCAACUGACGCUGAGGCGCGAAAGCGUGGGGAGCAAACAGGAUUAGAUACCCCAGUAGUC